UACGUAGGGCGCAAGCGUUAUCCGGAAUUAUUGGGCGUAAAGAGCUCGUAGGCGGUUUGUCGCGUCUGCUGUGAAAGACCGGGGCUCAACUCCGGUUCUGCAGUGGGUACGGGCAGACUAGAGUGAUGUAGGGGAGACUGGAAUUCCUGGUGUAGCGGUGAAAUGCGCAGAUAUCAGGAAGAACACCCGUGGCGAAGGCGGCUCUCUGGAACGCAACUGACGCUGAGACGCGAAAGCGUGGGGAGCAACCAGG
rnacentral:rRNA from 1 species